rnacentral:rRNA from 1 species
CAGAGACUGCAAGCGUUAUUCGGAUUCACUGGGCGUAAAGGGUGCGCAGGCGGUUGGGUGUGUCAGAUGUGAAAUCCCGAGGCUCAACCUCGGAACUGCGUCUGAAACUACUCGACUAGAGUACUGGAGAGGGUAACGGAAUUCACGGUGUAGCAGUGAAAUGCGUAGAUAUCGUGAGGAACACCAGAGGCGAAGGCGGUUACCUGGACAGUUACUGACGCUCAGGCACGAAAGCAUGGGGAGCAAAAGGGAUUAGAUACCCCUGUAGUCCAUGCCCUAAACGGUGCACACUAGGUCUUAGCGGAUUCGACCCCACUAGGGCCCAAGCUAACGCGUUAAAGUGUGCCGCCUGAGGACUACGGUCGCAAGACUA